UACGAAGGGUGCAAGCGUUACUCGGAAUUACUGGGCGUAAAGCGUGCGUAGGCGGUUUGUUAAGUCUGUCGUGAAAGCCCCGGGCUCAACCUGGGAAUGGCGAUGGAUACUGGCGAGCUAGAGUACGGUAGAGGAGAGUGGAAUUCCCGGUGUAGCAGUGAAAUGCGUAGAGAUCGGGAGGAACAUCAGUUGCGAAGGCGGAUCUCUGGGCCGAUACUGACGCUGAGGAGCGAAAGCGUGGGGAGCGAACAGG
rnacentral:rRNA from 1 species